CCUACGUGAGGCAGCAGUGGGGGAUAUUGCACAAUGGGGGAAACCCUGAUGCAGCGACGCCGCGUGAGUGAAGAAGUCUUUCGGUAUGUAAAGCUCUAUCAGCAGGGAAGAAAAUGACAGUACCUGACCAAGAAGCCCCGGCUAACUACGUGCCAGCAGCCGCGGUAAUCCGUAGGGGGCAAGCGUUAUCCGGAUUUACUGGGUGUAAAGGGAGCGUAGACGGUUAUGUAAGUCUGGAGUGAAAGCCCGGGGCCGAACCCCGGGACUGCUUUGGAAACUGUGUAACUUGAGUACAGGAGGGGCAGGCGGAAUUCCUGGUGUAGCGGUGAAAUGCGUAGAUAUCAGGAGGAACACCGGCGGCGAAGGCGGCAUGCUGGACUGAAACUGACGUUGAGGCUCGAAAGCGUGGGGAGCAAACAGGAUUAGAUACCCCAGUAGUC
rnacentral:rRNA from 1 species